UGAGGAAUAUUGGUCAAUGGGCGAGAGCCUGAACCAGCCAAGUCGCGUGAGGGAAGGAGGUCCUACGGAUUGUAAACCUCUUUUGCGGGGGAGCAACGGGCGCCACGUGUGGCGCCGUGAGCGUACCCCGAGAAAAAGCAUCGGCUAACUCCGUGCCAGCAGCCGCGGUAAUACGGAGGAUGCGAGCGUUAUCCGGAUUUAUUGGGUUUAAAGGGUGCGUAGGCGGCACGGAAAGUCAGCGGUAAAAAUGCGGUGCUCAACGCCGUACAGCCGUUGAAACUGACGGGCUAGCGUACGCCAGGAGCAUGCGGAAUGCGCGGUGUAGCGGUGAAAUGCAUAGAUAUCGCGCAGAACUCCGAUCGCGAAGGCAGCAUGCUAUGGCGAAACGGACGCUGAGGCA
rnacentral:rRNA from 1 species